CUGGGAUCCACGUGGUUACGGUGGGAGCUGAUUACAAGACCACAAAUCCAUUCCAGAAGUCGCCUGUUGGGGCCUACUUCACCAUUCCGUCCAUAUUUCUCCGAGCCUUGACGCAAGAGGAGGUUAAAACUUUGGUCAACUGUUCAGAAUCUCUGGACGGGGACAUUGGUCCAGGCAAAUGGAACUUUACCUGGGUGAAGGAUGUCUUGAAAGGGGCAGAAACUACUCUCGUAAUUGAUGGAUACCCGCUGACAGCCUCUCCGAUUAACCAGGGUAGUGUAGACUACGUCUUCCUAGACACUGACAACGCCGAUGGAGAAAGGCUUUCAUUCAUAAAAUCACGGACCUUGGAAGAUGUGUGUGAAGUAGCCGACAGAGGCAGGUAUAUCCUGGUGAGUGGAACUUACACCUACUCCGAAGCUCAGAGCACCUGCGAGGCUUACGGAGGGCAGUUGCCUGGUCGUGGCAAGGACACCAGAAAAGCAGCUUCUAGGGUAAGGAAGGAUAUCCUGACUGCAAGGUAGGUCGAAAUUUUAUGAGCUUACGUUACGUACGUUUUCUGUAGUUUCUCCUAACUGGGAUGGAAUGGAGUGAAAAUUGACACAAUGGUCAAAGCCUUAGUCAUACUUUUAUCUGCUGAAAUCUG